CCUACGGGUGGCAGCAGUGGGGAAUAUUGGACAAUGGGGGAAACCCUGAUCCAGCGACGCCGCGUGAGUGAAGAAGUAUUUCGGUACGUAAAGCUCUAUCAGCAGGAAAGAAAAUGACGGUACCUGACUAAGAAGCCACGGCUAACUACGUGCCAGCAGCCGCGGUAAUACGGCGGGGGCAAGCGUUAUCCGGAUUUACUGGGUGUAAAGAGAGCGUAGACGGCAGCGCAAGUCAGGAGUGAAAUGCUGGGGCCCAACCCUGGAACUGCUCUGGAAACUGUGAAGUUGGAGUGCAGGAGAGGUAAGCGGAAUUCGUGGUGUAGCGGUGAAAUGCGUAGAUAUCAGGAGGAACACCGGCGGCGAAGGCGGCUUACUGGACGGUAACUGACGUUGAGGCUCGAAGGCGUGGGUAGCAAACAGGAUUAGAUACCCGGGUAGUC
rnacentral:rRNA from 1 species